rnacentral:lncRNA from 1 species
AAAUAUAAUUAUAAUGAUAAUGGUAAUAACUUUUUAUUAUUAGAAUUAGUAAGAGACUUAUGUAUUAUAGAACUACAUUAACUUCUGGGGACAAAUAUAAUGAUUUGAGUAAAUAUUACCGUUGUUAAUUACCUCAAUUUAAGUAAUGUAAGAAAAUAUUAUUUUUAUCUAAAGAAUAUUUGGCAAAAGUCAGUAUUUCCUAAGUAUUAAAUAUUAUAAAAAAACAUGUGUUUAAAAAAAAUUUAUCAUAAAUAAAAAAAUAACUAUUAGAGUAUAAAAAAAAAACACAUUUAUUAUUAUGAUUUAUAUACAUCACAUUAACAAUGUUGUCUGUAAAGUAGAGGUUGCAGGUGUUAUUUCAGCUUCAGCUAUAAACUCAUUAGCUUCAGAUUAAUGCUGAAUCUGAUCAAGUCAGUAUAAUUACCUUGAUAGCUGAUAGGAAAAGAGAAUAAUAUUCCAUAAAUAUUUUAUGCAAAAUAUAUUUUUAUAUAGGAAUUUAUUCAAUGAAAAUCUAAAAUAGUGAUAAAAUUUAAACAUACAUUUUAAAAAUUUUAAAUAAAAUUUGCUAAAAGUUGUUGCUUUUUGUAAAUGUUUCCAUCAGAGCCUAGGCCUAGGAUUCACAAUAUUAGGGGGCCCAAAUUGGGUUUUCAGAGAUUUGUUUAAAAAGUGGUGCCCAAAAAUCUAAAUCCAUUUUUAAUUUUCUUAAGAGGACCAACUAUCUUUUGUUCAAAAAGAGUACACUUAUCAAGUAUUUCAUAGGUAAAAAAAAAGAAGAAAAAACAAUAAAAAACUUUAUCUUCUUUAAAAAAAAUAUUUUCCUUCAGUGAAUUUUUUAUGCUAAAUGAGGAUGUUCCUCUAAUAAUGUUGCCACAUCCGAACAUAUUAAAUUGCUUAUUAAAUUUGACUGUUAAGACGGCAUAUAAUGUUUUUACAGAAAGUUGCAACUUCUCACUGCUCCAAUAAUCAUUUCUUUGUGAAAAUACCCUUUCAACAGCAGCAUUAGUGUCCGGACAACAAAGAAAUUUCUAUUAAAACUUUUAAGUUUUCAUUUGGGAUAUGUUCUACUCUAAAAUGCCGAAAGAUAUCUACCCAUCUUUUUUCAAGUUCUAUUUUCUCAUUGUUCCAUUUCUUCAAUUUUUCUUUAUUUAAAUAUAAAUUUACUCUUCGAAUUUCUUCAAAGAGAAAAUUGUCAUUAAUAACAAUAUCUUAUACUUCCUUUAUUAGAAAUUCGACUGCUGAAGGAACUUUUUUCCAUUAAGUUUUACUAUUUAUAAGGGUCUAUUAGAAACAAUUCAAUGCUCUAAAGUUCAUUCCGGGAUUCCAUUUUAUUCCGGGAUUGGAAUCUGCCAAAGGGGUCAGUUUAUAGGUUUUAAUAUAGCCUUUAAUAUUGUAUAUAGUAGUGUAUGUAUAUAUUUUUUUAUUUAAAUUUACUUUUAAUUUGUUUUUUUAUAUUUUUCUGCAAAAAUUGUUUUCUGUCACUCUAUCUGAACUUAUGUGAUAAAGUUUUUUUUUUUCUCUUACAUAUUUUCUCACUCAUCUUAUCUCAUCCGUUCAUUCUCUCUUUUUUUUUUUUUUUUUUUUCUUAGCGUUACUCCUUUAUACUUUUGUGCUUAUUCCAACUUUUUAAAUAUUAUUGUUCCUUAUACUUCUUUUUUUAUUACUUGUAUUAAUGUAGUUUACUUUCUUUAUUAUUAUUAUUUUAUUUUAUUUGUUUAUUUUAUUAAGGUGUUGCUCCAUUGAUUAGUUUUUAAUAUGAGUGACUCCGAACAUAAAUUUGUAAAUUAUAAUUAAGUUUGUAAUUUUUGAUUUUAUGGUUAAUUAACAAUAAGCGCAUGUGUAGUAUGUACAGUAAGUUUUUUUUAUCCUUUUAUUUAAUUAAAUAGAUGGAUAAAAAACUUUGCUGUACAUACUACUCAUGCGUCAAUACUGUCAAGCAUGCCGUACAUACUGCACAUCAAAGAUCAGCUUGGGGAUUACAUACAUAAAUGUUAGAACCAUCUCUUUUCACAAAUGUAAUUUUGACAUUGUUAGAAAAAAAGGUCUGGGGUAUCUAUCUAUCUCUCCAGGUACACAGUACGGCCUCUCAAUUAUGCUGAAAAUAGCAGCCAUAUGUGUGUGCAAAAUUUAAAUCACUGUCAAACUUGUGUCUGGUGUUUGCCCUGUCCUCUGACAUGCCGGAAACGGCAAACAAUAUGCAUAUGUGAAAUUCAAAUCACUAUCAAAAUAAUUUUUAAUAUUUAAUUAUUAAAAUUGAAAUUAAAUAAUAUUAAAAAAAAUGUUUUAGAAAUACAAAUGAGUACAAAUUUAUACAAAUGAGUACUUUCAGAGUACAGGAUUUGAAAAAAGUACUGUUUGUGAAAAAAGAGUAAAAAACUCAUUAAAUGAGAAUAGUUGGUCACCUUAAUUGUCUACAUAAUUUUUUGGUAGAUUUUAAAGUUCUUGCAAAAGAUGGUUUUAUCUAUGAAAAUAUUGAAAUUAAAAUCAAUCUUGCUCUUAUCAUAUGUGAUGGACCAGCUAGAGCAUUUGUAAAGUGUAUUAAAGGACACAAUGGUUAUAACUGAUGUGAAUGUUGUGUUUUGAAAGGAGAGUGGUGUGAUUAUAAAGCAAAGUUUCGUGGAUUAUUUCCUCGUGGAUAUUCGACUAAUCUCAGAUAAGUUGCUUAAUUCUUUUAUUUUUAGUGUAUUUAUUUGUAAAUAUUAUUUUAUUUAAU